rnacentral:tRNA from 1 species
GCGCCUCUAGUUUAAUGGUAGAACAGAGGUCUCCAAAACCUUUAGUCAGGGUUCGAUUCCUUGGAGGCGCG